rnacentral:rRNA from 1 species
CAGGCCUAACACAUGCAAGUCGAGCGGGGAAGGGUAGCUUGCUACCUGACCUAGCGGCGGACGGGUGAGUAAUGCUUAGGAAUCUGCCUGGUAGUGGGGGACAACGUUUCGAAAGGAGCGCUAAUACCGCAUACGUCCUACGGGAGAAAGUGGGGGACCUUCGGGCCUCACGCUAUCAGAUGAGCCUAGGCCGGAUUAGCUAGUUGGUGAGGUAAAGGCUCACCAAGGCGACGAUCCGUAACUGGUCUGAGAGGAUGAUCAGUCACACUGGAACUGAGACACGGUCCAGACUCCUACGGGAGGCAGCAGUGGGGAAUAUUGGACAAUGGGCGAAAGCCUGAUCCAGCCAUGCCGCGUGUGUGAAGAAGGUCUUCGGAUUGUAAAGCACUUUAAGUUGGGAGGAAGGGCAGUAAGCGAAUACCUUGCUGUUUUGACGUUACCGACAGAAUAAGCACCGGCUAACUCUGUGCCAGCAGCCGCGGUAAU